GUUGCUGUGGUGUAGUGGUUAUCACGUCAGUCUUACACACUGAAGGGUCCCCAGUUCGAUCCUGGGCAGCAACA
rfam:Cucumis melo, WGS project CAJI01000000 data, contig: 28944